rnacentral:rRNA from 1 species
UGGGGAAUUUUGCACAACGGGCGAAAGCCUGAUGCAGCGACGCCACGUGGAGGAUGAAGGUCUUCGGAUUGUAAACUCCUGUUGAGUGGAAAGAAAUACGCGUAGUUAAUACCUGCGCGGGAUGACGGUACCACUAAAGAAAGCUCUGGCUAACUUCGUGCCAGCAGCUGCGGUAAUACGAAGGGAGCAAGCGUUAUUCGGAAUGACUGGGCGUAAAGGGUGCGUAGGCGGCUUAUUAAGUCGGUUGUUAAAUUCCAUGGCCUAACUGUGGACCGGCAAUCGAAACUGAUUGGCUAGAGGAUAAGAGAGAGAAGUGGAAUUCUCGGAGUAGCGGUUAAAUGCGUAGAUCUCGAGAGGAACACCGAUUGCGAAGGCAGCUUCUUGGCUUAUUCCUGACGCUGAGGCACGAAAGCGUGGGGAGCAAACAGG